rnacentral:rRNA from 1 species
CGAAUGAGGAGAUUCAUCGUCAGCUUAUUCAGUAUUAAUGCAGGCUAUGAUGUGAUAAUAGAAUCCUUGUGGUCACUAGAUUAUACUUGCUUGUAUUAUUUUUGCUGGGUAUGUCGGCGUGCACUUCUCCUCUAGUAGAACGUCGCAACCCGUUGGAUGUUUAUCUAUGGCUUGAAUGGUAGCCUUUGAUAUUUUUUAUAUUAAAGACCUUCGAUGUCCUGAUAAACUGUUUGACGGUAUACAUAUGGUAUUGAGCCGCAAUUAUUUGCGUUAGACUUGCCGCAAGUAUGACUUUAUUCUAGUAGUGCGGAUCUAAUGCCGUCGCUGGACAAAGUCUGCUGUUA